UACGUAGGGUGCGAGCGUUGUCCGGAAUUACUGGGCGUAAAGAGCUCGUAGGUGGUUUGUCGCGUUGUUCGUGAAAACUCACAACUCAAUUGUGGGCGUGCGGCGAUACGGGCAGACUGGAGUAUUGCAGGGGAGACUGGAAUUCCUGGUGUAGCGGUGGAAUGCGCAGAUAUCAGGAGGAACACCGUGGCGAGGCGGUCUCUGGCAGUAACUGACGCUGAGGAGCGAAAGCGUGGGGAGCGAACAG
rnacentral:rRNA from 1 species